AAAGUCAAAAUAGAGCCAAAAAAUGAUGGGAUGUGGGGGGGAGGGAACGUCCUGGUGGGUUCACUGGUCUCUGCUGAAGGGUGGGAGCCAACUCAGGAUGAGCUUGGUCCAAAUUUGGGGGGAAAUGGCUCGUUUUUGCCCCAAAAAAUGGGUAGGGAUGGGCCUUGGGGGAUAGAGUGUGGCGUUGUUGGUCUCUGCUGGGGGGUGGGAGCCAACUCAGGAUGAGCUUGGUCCAAAUUUUGGUGAAAAUGGCUUGUUUUUACCCCAAAAAUAGGGUAGGGAAGGGCCUGGGGGGGUAGAUUGCGGCUUUGCUGGUUUCUGCUGGGGGGUGGGAGCCAACUCAGGAUGAGUUUGGUCCAAAUUUGGGGGAAAAUGGCUCGUUUUUACCCCAAAAAUAGGGUAGGGAUGGGCCUUGGGGGAUAGAGUGUGGCGUCGUUGGUUUCUGCUGGGGGGUGAGAGCCAACUCAGGGUGAAUUUGGUCCAAAUUUGGGGGAAAAUGGCUCGGUUUUGCCCUAGAAAAUGGGUUGGGUUGAUCCUACACGCAGAGAGGAGGGUUGUGGGUAUCCAGAAAUUGGAGCAAAAGUCAAAAUUGAGCCAAAAAACGAUGGGAUACGGCAAGGAGGGAACGUCCUGGUGGGUUCACUGGUCUCUGCUGAAGGGUGGGAGCCAACUCAGGAUGAGUUUGGUCUGAAUUUGGGGGAAAAUGGCUCAUUUUUACCCCAAAAAAUGGGUAGGGAAGGGCCUGUGGGGGUAGAUUGCGGCUUUGU
rnacentral:lncRNA from 1 species